GCGUGAUCUCGGCUCACUGCUAUCUCCGCCUCCCGGGUUUGAGUGAUUCUCCUGCUUCAGCCUCUCGAGUAGCUGGGAUUACAGUCACUUGCCACCGUACCCAGCUGAUUUUUGUAUUUUUAGUAGAGACAGGGUUUUACCAUGUUGGCCAGGCUGGUCUCUAACUCCUGACCUCAAAUGAUCUACCCUCCUGGCCUCCCAAAGUGCUGGAAUUACAGGAUUGAGCCACCACACCUGGACUGCCAUCCAAGAUUGGGCAACUGAUAUUCAGUCCCAUGCACUACUUGAGCCAGUCUUGACUGAAACAGGAAUCACAUCAAAAGAUGAGGCAACACAAUCAGACCUAGCGAUUGACAUGGCCUUCAGAGGAUCUUGGACAGCGUCAGGAGAGGAUGACAUAGUCAACUGCAUACCUGCAAAAGAAUUCAGAACCUGAAUCGACAUCCUUUUCCACAGACCGUUGCAGUUCCUCUCACUGUAGACCGAGUAGACCCUUCGGUCUCAGUCAUGUGACUUACUUUAGUCAAGAAGACUUGAAAUGUGCAUGCAUAGAUGGGCUUGUCCUCUCACACCUCUGCCACCUUUGUAAAAAGAAGCUGUCCUGUUACGAUUUUGCACCAAGGAAGAUGACGGACACAGAAGCAUAUUUGGACCCAUCUCACACCCUGGCAUCCACGGCAGACUGGAGAGCCAAUUCUGUGCCUACUCACACACAUGUAAGAGAGAAUAAAUGGUUGCUUUAAGCCAGCAUUAGGACUGUUUAUUGUGCAACAAUAGCUGACUAGUACAACCACCCACAUUUAUGACUAUGAGUGAAAAGAUAUGUUAUUAACUGCAGUCACAUCAUCAAUUAACAUUACCAGAGUACUCAUUGCAGGUAGAAAUAUGCAUUUUGAGGAGGCCUAAAAGAGAUAUAGAAGUUUUGUCUGCUGCUCUGGAAGAUUCUGAUAGAAGGGUAUGCUGCUCAUCAGACUCAUUAUUUCAAUAACAUUUAUUGAGAGCAUACUCUGUGUCAGACACUGUGCUACAGCCGGAAGAACAAAGAUAAACAAGUCAGGCCUGACUUCAACAAGCAUGAGGCCUAGUAGGAGACACAGACUUGCAAACAAAGCGCUGCUUUAUAAAAUUUCCAAACCGGCUGGGCGCGGUGGCUCACGCCUGUAAUCCCAGCACUUUGGGAGGCCGAGGUGGGUGGAUUACGAGGUCAGGAAAUUGAGACCAUCCUGGCUAACACGGUGAAACCCGUCUCUACUAAAAAUACAAACAAACAAACAAACAAACAAACAAUUAGCCCGGUGUGGUGGCAGGCGCCUGUAGUCCCAGCUACUCGGGAGGCUGAGGCAGGAGAAUGGCUUGAACCUGGGAGGCGGAGCUUGCAGUCAGCAGAGAUCCCGCCACUGCACUCCAGCCUGGGUGACAGAGCGAGACUCCGUCUAAAAAAAAAAAAAGAAAAUUCCCAAACUGCAACUGUAUUUGAACUGUAUACAGUACAGUAUCUGGAGCCCAGCAUACAAUGUCCAAGUGUUUGCACCAGAACCCUGGCUCAACCAACUUUCUCACCUUUAUUUGCCUCAGUUCCCUCAUUCAUAAAAGCUGGAGAAUUCACAUUUAGGAUGGUAUCUGACAUGUAACAACUCAAUGUCAGCUAUUAUUAUCGCUGUUGUUAUUAUUAUUAAUAUCAACAUCAGCAGCAGCAGUAUUAAGGAUGAAGUAGCCAACCUUUCCUUGACCAUGGCACAUUUAGAGACAUUGAAAUUAUUGUGCUAAAUGCUAAGAGGGCUUAGAAAAUAAAUGAAACAAGGCUCCAUUCUCAAGAGGCUUACCAGAAAUAUUCACACAAAAAGGUCAGUAAUUAUAGAUGAUGAAAAGGAUGGUAACUGAAAGAAACCGUGUAUUAUAUACCUUGUCGAUUCAAACGAAAUUAUUUUAUACACAUAUAACCACCUAGACUUGAUUGGUUAGGGGUUUUCACUGGUAUGGUGACAUUUGUCUCAAUUUUGCUGAAGAUGACACUAUGUAAAUUCAUGCUUGAUAGUUAUAAUUAAAUUAAAAUGGAAGAUUUGUAUUUCUUUCUUGAUAAAUCGACUCAGUCUCACCUACAUCCUUAGAAGCUCAG
rnacentral:lncRNA from 1 species